rnacentral:rRNA from 1 species
CUGGGAUGUGAUGGGGAGCGAAAUUUAGUAGCGAAGUAGCUGAUUUCACACUGUCAAGAAAAGUCUCUAUCGAGGUUAAAGGUACCCGUACCGCAAACCGACACAGGGGGGUGAGGAGAGUAUCCUAAGGCCAGCGAGAGAACUGUUGUUAAGGAACUCGGCAAAAUGACCCCGUAACUUAGGGAUAAGGGGUGCCACCAUCAGG